UUUAGAGGAAAAGAUGGUGUGUGGGGGUGGGGAGAAGGGGAUAUAACAACAUAACAAAUGAAGUCUCUCUCAUUUUUGUAUGAUCUUGCUCCCUAGUGACUGAAGUGGAGAACAGUUUCUUAGUUAUCUCACAAGACUUGGCGGGACCAUGACAGGAACCUUGUCCAAGUAAAGCUGAUCUGGCUAUGUUAAAACACACUUCACUGGAGAAACUUGGAACGCCUUACUUUGUUAAAGAUAUCUGUCCCAUGCAGCUGUGUGCCUACAAAAAAUUAUAUGAGGCUGCCAUUUCAGUGUGGUGAUAAAGCAAACGGCUUAGGUUAUGUGGGGAUUAUUAACAAGUGUCUUGAGUAAGCAAUAUUAAAAAAAGCUUACUUUCUUCUUGCAAUUAUCUUACUAAUAUUUCCCUUUGCUCAUAUUUCAAGAUUUCUUAGUUGUUGAACUACUUAAGGUUAUUAAUACCCACUGCCAUAUAGCUCACUUGACAUAAUAGCAGAACUGGGCAGCUGAAUUUAUUAACCAACAUAAUCAAUGUUUUGCUGUAAUACAUGGAUUGCCAUGAUAAUUUACAAGUAAACUCCUUUGUACUAGGUAAUAUAAUGAAAUAAAUUAUUCAAAUAAAAAUUGUAAAUACUCCUAGUGCAA